CCUACGGGAGGCAGCAGUGGGGAAUCUUGCGCAAUGGGCGAAAGCCUGACGCAGCCAUGCCGCGUGAAUGAUGAAGGUCUUAGGAUUGUAAAAUUCUUUCACCGGGGACGAUAAUGACGGUACCCGGAGAAGAAGCCCCGGCUAACUUCGUGCCAGCAGCCGCGGUAAUACGAAGGGGGCUAGCGUUGCUCGGAAUUACUGGGCGUAAAGGGAGCGUAGGCGGAUAGUUUAGUCAGAGGUGAAAGCCCAGGGCUCAACCUUGGAAUUGCCUUUGAUACUGGCUAUCUUGAGUGUGGGAGAGGUAUGUGGAACUCCGAGUGUAGAGGUGAAAUUCGUAGAUAUUCGGAAGAACACCAGUGGCGAAGGCGACAUACUGGCCCAUUACUGACGCUGAGGCUCGAAAGCGUGGGGAGCAAACAGGAUUAGAUACCCUGGUAGUCCACGCUGUAAACGAUGAGUGCUAGUUGUCGGCAUGCAUGCAUGUCGGUGACGCAGCUACGCAUAGACACUCCGCCGUGGGAGGUACGGUCGCGAAGUAAGUUAAACUUACGAAAGUAAGUUAGUUACGGCGUUGAGACGNGCCGACGGACGACGACGAGGGAGGAGG
rnacentral:rRNA from 1 species